AAUAUGGUGCCUGAUUAAAAGGGUAGUUUUGAUAGAACUAAUUAUGUAAAAAUUUACUCAUAUUA
rnacentral:tRNA from 1 species